UGCACCUUAAUACUGUUAGGCCACCUGUGGGUGAAAGGUUACAGGCAAUUAUUUUUUUUUUGAAUUAUAUAUGAAUAUGGUACCUCCCUUACUACGAAUUUGGAAGAAGAAAGGAAAAUGACACAAAUUAUGAUUUUUAUACACACACACUGAUCAAAGAAAGGAAAAGAACAUAAAUACAUGUAGAUUUUUUUUGUAUCUUCGUACAAUAUUUGUUGUUGUUUUUAUUGAGAGAUGUGGAUCGGAUGAUCUUAUGCAGUUAGAGGAAAAUCAUCCGAGUAUUUUUUUUAUGCAUAGCUUACCUUCCUGUCUUAUGAUAUGAGACAUAAUUUUUGUUGUGACUGAAAUUCUUGACAUUUCUCAACAGUUCGUGGUACCAUACGCUGCAGCGGCGAAAAUUAAAAAAUGGUAAAUUGAGAAAGUGUUUUAGGAAUAUUCCCGAUUAUUUUUGAAAUCCUGAAGGAAAAAUAAAAUUCAUAAUGAUGAAAACAUAAAAGUGGUGAAUUUCCGGCGGUCCAGUUAGAAAUUUGAGUGCUGGGCCGCUGUAAUAUUUUAUGGAUGUUUUUUUUUAAUGUUCCUGCUCACGAGGUUCCACUUCCAACUUGCUGAUUUGUAUUCUAAUUGCAAUUUGUCAUUGGCUAACCCACCGACUACGGGCCUUAUAUCGGUCAGGGUUUUUAAUGAUAUAUUGAGCCAGAACAAGGAGUGAAAAUUACCCUAUUCUUUGGAAAGUAUAGGCUCUGAACCCGAACGCCCAAAUAUCGGGAGCUCCGCCCCCCGAUAAAUAAGCUGGGAACCUAACAGAAAUCAAAAUGUCCGUGAGUCUUAGAUCAUAAAAUUUGACAAAUAAAAUACAAGAAAUAAACAAAAGGGAACAAGUUAAAACAUCGGAAAAGUAAAAGAUUACCAAAAUGAAAAGAAGAAAAAAAUUUAAAGCUGCAAAUAGAAAACGAAAUUAUGUGUUUGUGAUUGUCCGUUAUUUAUUUAAAACAUUUUUUUUUUGUGCGUCAAAGUUUAAAUUUAUUUAUUAUUUAUUUAUUUUUUUAAUUUCCCAAAUUUAAUUAUUAUGUAAGUGAUAAAAACCAUUUUUGAAGGGGUCAACGCGAAAUUUUCGUUUUUGGGUAUCCUAGGGUGAAAUAUACCUCCAAAGAGCUCUCUAGGGGUAGGCUAUCCAGGAUCGUUUUUUUUUGUCAAAGCUAAAUUUAUUACCGAAAAGGGUAACAGUGUCUUUUUUUUGGAUAAUAACUCGACUCCGAGGAAGGGUUUUUAAUCGCCUUUGUUUUUUUUUCUAAUAUUCUUUUUUUUAGUUAAAUUGUCCUGUAAAUUUCGAGUGAUAAAUUUGAUUCGAUUUUUUUUUGUAGUUAAAAAGUCGUUUUGUAUUCUUUAUAUUCAAUGAUGUGAAUAAACUUAAAUGACGCCAAGGGUCGAAAAGAAUCUACUUGUUUGGUGUUUUGUUUAGUUUCAUGUGAAUGAAACUCUGCCUUUUUGAAGAUAUUUUCAGGGGUGUCAUGGUAGCGGAGUUUAAGUGAAGAUGGUAUGAUCUGAAACCGAUCAUCCACCAUCUUUGGGGGAAUCCAAACAUGGCCGCGGAUUUCCAUGGUUGGGAGGGUAUAGGCCACACUGCACCAACAUCCGCAGUGCCCUUGAGAUGAUGAUAGUCCGUCUGCUGUCACAUCUGUCAAAAACGGUUUUUUUCGAUUUUUGUUCUCGGCCUGAUUUAUGUUUUUGUUAGCAGGUGAGGUUAAGUUUCGGGGGCAAGAUCCCCCCCAUCCGGCGAGCUUAUGCCGUGCAUCGCAAGCAGGCCACGUCCUCCGGAACUUGACAUUCCUUCCUUUCCUUUCCAAACACUUCCUUUUCUGAUUUCCUACCUCAUCCUAUUUCCUACCUUACCGACCUACCUACACCUCCUCCGCUCCUCUUGCCUAGCAACAAAAUGGCGCCCAACGUCUAAGGCACUUGUCUUAGAUUUUUGUAGUCUUAGUUUCAGUUUUUUUAUGUUGUGAAGUUUCAACCAAACUUACUGUGAAUUUUUAAGUCUCGUAAGUCUGCACCAGGAAAGUCCCAGAGACAUACCUAGGUGUAUCGCGACGAGUACUUGAAAAUUCACAGUGACUGCGGUUAGUGUUUGUUUGCGUUUAUCUCUUGUUGCUGCAUAGUCUCUGAAAACACGUAAGUCUGCACCAGGAAGAUCCCAGAGAUGUACCUAGGUGUAUUGCGACGUUGUUUUUCAUGAACUUGCAGUAGCAACAGAUAACGUAAUUUGUAUCGUUUUUCCCUAAUCCUAUCCUAAUACAUUUUACUUUUCAAUUUCUAAUUUUCAAUUUUCUAAUCCUAUAGUCUUGUGAGUUCCUACUUGAAAGUGAUGAUUGUUUUUGACGUGUAGUCUGACUUCAUCCUUCCAAUAUGGUUUGUCGAGUUUUACUAGUCGUUUCAUGUCUUCUAGACAAGGUCCCUGAGACAGUCUAGGAUUGCGGGAACGAUUAGGAAAACUUUGUAAUGUGAUUUGUUAGUGUUUCUAAUAAAGUUCUGGUCCAAUUUUAUUGUCAUCUCAAGGGAGUUUAGUUCGUCUGUCCGAAGUCCUUUUUUAGUGAUGUCGUAAGUAGGAUCGUACCAUCUUGCUAACAAAGCUACCAAAAGCACCCCGUAUGUUGAUGAAAUUAAACCCUAAAACGAAACUUAUUUCUAAUUU